rnacentral:rRNA from 1 species
GUGGGGGAUAUUGCACAAUGGAGGAAACUCUGAUGCAGCGACGCCGCGUGAGGGAAGAAGGUCUUCGGAUUGUAAACCUCUGUCUUCAGGGACGAAACAAAUGACGGUACCUGAGGAGGAAGCCACGGCUAACUACGUGCCAGCAGCCGCGGUAAUACGUAGGUGGCAAGCGUUGUCCGGAAUUACUGGGUGUAAAGGGAGCGCAGGCGGGGAAGCAAGUUGGGAGUGAAAUCUAUGGGCUUAACCCAUAAAUUGCUUUCAAAACUGUUUUUCUUGAGUAGUGCAGAGGUAGGCGGAAUUCCCGGUGUAGCGGUGGAAUGCGUAGAUAUCGGGAGGAACACCAGUGGCGAAGGCGGCCUACUGGGCACCAACUGACGCUGAGGCUCGAAAGUAUGGGUAGCAAACAGGAUUAGAAACCCCGGUAGUCC